AUGAACGCUGGCGGCGUGCCUAAUACAUGCAAGUCGAGCGAACAGACGAGGAGCUUGCUCCUCUGACGUUAGCGGCGGACGGGUGAGUAACACGUGGAUAACCUACCUAUAAGACUGGGAUAACUUCGGGAAACCGGAGCUAAUACCGGAUAAUAUAUUGAACCGCAUGGUUCAAUAGUGAAAGACGGUUUUGCUGUCACUUAUAGAUGGAUCCGCGCCGCAUUAGCUAGUUGGUAAGGUAACGGCUUACCAAGGCGACGAUGCGUAGCCGACCUGAGAGGGUGAUCGGCCACACUGGAACUGAGACACGGUCCAGACUCCUAAGGGAGGCAGCAGUAGGGAAUCUUCCGCAAUGGGCGAAAGCCUGACGGAGCAACGCCGCGUGAGUGAUGAAGGUCUUCGGAUCGUAAAACUCUGUUAUUAGGGAAGAACAAAUGUGUAAGUAACUAUGCACGUCUUGACGGUACCUAAUCAGAAAGCCACGGCUAACUACGUG
rnacentral:rRNA from 1 species